ensembl:lncRNA
GCCUGUACUCCAUGAGAUCACAGCACUGUGAUUAGAGCUCUGGUAUCACAUGUAUGUGCAUGUGGGCUUGGUGUGAUGCUCAGAUGCUGGAGCACCUCUCCUGUGAGGAAAGGUUGAGGGAACUGGGCUUGUUUGGCUUGGAGAAGAGAAGGCUCCGGGGAGACCUCAUUGCGGCCUUCCAGUACUUGAAGGGAGUGUAUAAACAGGAGGGGGAAUGGCUGUUUACAAGGGUGGGUAGUGGUAGGACAAGGGGGAAUGGUUUUAAACUGAGACAGGGGAGGUUUAGGUUGGAUAUUAGGAAGCAGUUUUUCACCCAGAGGGUGGUGACGCAGUGGAACAGGUUGCCCAAGGAGGCUGUGGAUGCCCCAUCCCUGCAGGCAUUCAAGGCCAGGCUGGAUGUGGCUCUGGGCAGCCUGGGCUGCUGGUUGGCGACCCUGCACAUAGCAGGGGGUUGGAACUGGAUGAGCAUUGUGGUCCUUUUCAACCCAGGCCAUUCUAGGAUUCUAUGA